rnacentral:sRNA from 1 species
UUUUUUUGUGUGCACCAAAUUCAUAGAUUGAAAUUAGAAAGAUACAUGAAGAUUAGGCUUCAUCGGACAAACUCGAGUAACAAAUUCGAAAAUUGAAAAGCUUGACUAUACAUAACUCAAACUUAGAGACACAAGCUGCAGUAAACUUCAUAGGAGAUCAAGAGAAGUGUCGAAACUAACUAACACAAGCAUGCCCAUGAGGAAGGAAGGGAUAACGAAGAAACUUUAUGAGUUGGCAACUCUCUGCGACAUCAAAGCAUGUGCGGUAAUCUAUAGUCCGUACGAGAAUCCAGUGGUGUGGCCGUCAAUCACCAACUUCUGUAGAUAACAAUAAUUCAACGUUAGAGAAAAAAGAAGAAGUUACCAUCAAAACAAUUAACUAAAAGUGUUUUGAAAGAUUUACAAGGGAUUUUAAAAGGGUUUUAUAAGAUUUACAAGAGAUUUUUAAAGGGUUUUAAAAGAUGUACAAGGGUUUUUAAAAGAUUUUUUUAAAGAAUUUACAAGAAAACCCUUUAAAAACUCUUGUAAAUUUUUUUAAAACCUUUUAAAAUCUCUUGUAAAUCAUUUAAAACCUUUUUAAAAUUUUUUUGAUGGAAAAUAGAUUUACUAGGGAUUUUAAAAGAGUUUUAAAAUAUUUACAAAGAAUUUUUAAAGGGUUUUAAAAGAUUUACAAUGGAUUUUAAAAGGGUUUUAAAAGAUUUAUAAGGGAUUUUAAAAGAGUUUUAAUAUUGAUAAAU